UUUAACAGACAGUUCAUCUGUCUACGGUGAUAUGGAUUAGUUUUUUAAAACAGAAACCUCAUAAAUGUCCCCUUGCCUUUUGACUUGUAACCCAAUCCUGCUCCAACUGUCCUUUGUAAGCACUAUGGCAUACCAAUGUGAUGAGUAAAUUAUAAAUGCUGUGCACAGAUCCAAAACACCCAUUGACAUCCUUGGAAAGAGGAUCAGGCCUUUAGUCUGUCAGUACUUUAAAAAUAUUAUUUUUAAUGAGUAGACACCAUAAGUAUGUUUAUAAAAUGUAGAGGAUAACCUUUUCUUUCUUUAUCCCCACUCUACUAUGUCACAUGCCUGGAGAAAUCUGGAAUACUAACACUGUAGUCCAGAAACAGCUGUACUGUUUAGCUAGCUGACUGAUGCACCUGAGGGACAUUCCUUCCUUUAUCAUAAGAUCUUGUUUAUUAUAUAAGCUACAGUUGGCUUGACAUAGUAUAUAGUCACUAGGGUGAAUGAACUGGAAAGAAGUAUGUAUGACUCACCCCAGUGCGCGCACACUAGGGUGGAAAUGGUUUCUAGAAAGUCAAUAUUUUUUCCACUCUCAGUGAAACAUAUUUUAUUUUGAACUCCAGAGACUGGUUCCACCUAAAACUGUAACUCUGGUUUACAAGAACUUAGUGAAAAAUAGGGUAAGUUUUACAACAUUUUAACAUGUGUCCAGUUACAGUAUUCUGCACAUGAUUGCACACUUCCAGAGCAUCAGUGCUCAAACACUUCAGUCGCUGUUCAAGUCUGAUAAAUCUAGAUUCUCUGUUCUUUCUGUUGCACACACUUAAUAGCUGACAUAAUGAGUAAUUGGUACAGCCCUGGAGGAAAACAUCCAAUUUUUGAUGCUUUUUCAGAGUUGGAGAUAAAGCUUCAAUAUAGCUGCCAUGCUGAAUACUUGGGAGUAUUUAUUUCUUGCUUAGCUUCUAUAUCCAAGAGCAAAUGGUCAAAUUCAUUUCAUGAGCGUACAGUACAUAAUUGAACUAAGCUGAUUGUUGAGCUAAGUCUCAAGGUACUCCUAGCAUUUUUUGGUGUGAGUCUGCUAAGGACAGAAAGCAAAGAGGACACUAUGUCCAAAAGAACUUGUUGGUAUUAGACUUUCAGCCCAUCUUGGUAAGAGGUACUAAGCACAUCCUGACUGGUUCCGUGGACUCCUCGUGGCCACAGCUGUUGCCCAUAUACUUCUAUUUAGCAUUUUAAUGGCUUCUCAGAAGAUAAGAAUUCGUAGCGGAAAAUAUUAUGCGUGGGUAAUCUAUUUUAUCUACUGACCGAGCUGUCUUGGCUUUAGGGACUAAUAAAAGAUAGCUACAUCUCAAGAUACUCUGAAACGUGAGCUGUUAUCAUUGGCUUCCACACAUGGCUUAAUAAGGAGCGAUUCAUAAUUAGUUCACAAAUACUGUGCACACUAGGAGAACAUCCGUGCUGAUAAGUAUUAUUUUGUAUUGUGGCAGCAGCUAAGGAUUCAGGGAUCAGGGCCUCGUUAUACUGCAUAAACAAGUAAUCCAAAGACAAAAGAAUCCCUGCCCAGUCAGAGAGCUCACAGUAUAGGAUUUUGACAAUCACCAUGGGUAAAUAUGCUCAAAAUACAGCUGUCAAGCAUGAUUUUAAUUUGCUUCCAAAUUCAGGGUGGCUGCUGCUUCUGUUAACAGCAGCCCGUAAAUUGUGCUUUGCUAGAACCAAAUGGAACUUGGACAUUAAAAUGUUGGCCUGCUUCUAAGGUUAGGACCUACAAUGUUUGAGUACAUACUAAAUUUGAUUAAGCAUAUGCAGGAAUGAGAAUGUAUUUUAUUUGUUAAUAUGAAAAUAUAGCUUUGCUUACAAAAAAAUCAAAUGUACAAAAUACCCCAAUAAUAUGUUAUGUCAUUAAUAGUGAUGGAGUGUUUCAUUUAAAAGAUCUUUCUUCUGGAAACAUGGAUCUUCAAGCCAGGAAUUGAUAUUCGACUUUCAGUUGUUAACAUUGUCAACCUUCCAGAAACUCCAUCUUUGUGUUUAACUAUGGACAUCUGGAAAGGUAGAUGACAUUCACAGGAUAAAUAUGGUGCGCUAUUAUCUUUCAGAAGAUCUUGGCAUUGGUAGCCACAGAAAUGCUUGUGGAUGGUGAUGGAUGAAAGACACAGCAAAGUCCUUCAGUCGUUGGCCAUAGAUUCUGUGAUAAAAGUGGUGCCAUUCUAAAUAGUCACUGGUUUUCUUACACCACCUACGCCUGACACAAGUAUUAACAUCUGAAAAUUUGACUAAAACAAUACCUCUUGUGUGACCUGUGGUCAGGAACGGCACUGUGUGUUUUGGCUCAUCAUUGGCUCAUCUGUAAUGUGUGCUGGAUUCCAGCUGUAAUAGAAUGCAGUCUUUAAUUUAUGUGUCCUUGCAUGCUUGUUUUUUUCCCCCAAGCCCUCUAGACUCUUCUUUCAAAUGGAAUUUCCAUUCCAUUUUUCCUUUCUGUUGGAUUGAUGUCACCUGGGAGGGACAGAGCAGCCUUAUAAAUUGCAUACUUUCCUGUUACUGAAUUUAGCCAUGUACUGUGUUCAUAUUAAUCUCUGCUUUUUAUGAAAGCGUAGAAGUGAACAGAAAGGCUUAGCUAUAUUUCUUCCUUAAUGGAGUGUGAACUGAGUCCAAUGAUACUAUGGCUAAUUCACCAUUGAAAACAAAAUAAAAGAGCUGUUGGUUGCAAACAUUUAACAGGGUCCUUGGCAGCAGAGAACUCAGAGAAAUCCAAGGAAAUAGCAUUUCUGGGUGGGGGGAGGGAAUAGAAAACAGUAAAACUAAAAUUUUAAAUUGAAAUUCAGCUGUUUUUCAACCGGAUUGAUAGGUUUAUUGUUUGCAAGUAUUUCUCCAUAAACCCAUCUCUUUCCUCAACCCUGAAAAGAAGAAACAGGCCAAAUGCAACACUGGCAAAAAUGUCUAUAUCAGCGUCUGCAUCUCUGUGGAAAUCUUUCAUUGGAGGAGUUGUAUGUGCUUGCUGCACAGAGGGAUUUGGCUCAAACUCACACACUUUAAUGUUUGAAGUUAAUCAUCACACUGACAGUAGUAUCUGUACUGGAGACCUAACCUACCACAUUGGUUUACAUCGUAUUCUUCAGCUAUCCAAGUUUAACCUUAAAUUGACCUAAUAUUUGCAGAGUAAAGGGAUGCAUAUGCAAAAGACCAUCAGCUGGCAUGGUAUGCAAUCAGAAGAGAGAGGUAAAUAACCCCUCCAAUUUAUUCAAUAGCAAUUUUGCUGUUGAAGUGUUGAGCUGAACUAAGCCAUAACCCAUAUUUUAAAUAUAGUAAUCAGAUAAUAUAAGGAAGCUAUGCUGCAUAUUACUUAAACAAAAUAAACAAAAAAGAAACCUCCCCCCUAGGUUUACCAGAAAAUGAUUUCACUUUGAAUAUACAUAUGUAAUGUAUAGUUAAGCGCUUAGGAAAGAUAUAGUUGUGGCUUGUUGGUAUCACCUUUGUUUUGUUUUUUGAGUAAUAUGGAGAGAACAAACAGCUUUGCAGAACCCGUUAAUAAAAAGACAUUUUUAGCAUUGGGAACAGUAGAAUGUUCCGGCGUGCUAUUCAUGUUACAGUUAAAUGACUGACACAGCUUCACUGCUUUGUGGACCUCAUUUACCCUUAUGACAGAUAUUUAUUCACUCAAGGUGUAUGUUGAUGGAAGAUAAAAGAACUCAAUUGGAUUUGUCCCUUACGCAGUUCUUUUCCAUAUCUUUUUCUGUAUAAAUAUAACAUUAUCUAAAAAUAAUGUGUCUUACAAUUUUUCUCAAUUCUUCUGAUGUAUUCAAAAUUAGUAAUAUCCUUAUCUUGUUCUUGGAGGCGUUACUUGCUAGAAUGCAUGCCUCGACAUGAUAGGGUGUGCCUGACAGCUUUUCAUAAUAACUGGAGAAAGCAACCCCUCCUCUUUCUUCCAAAAAGCUACAUGCAAAAUAUUAUU